UGAUAAUGGUGUACAUAAUCUCUCACAUCACAAUUAUCUAAAUCCACAUUUAUUCCAUCUUUUCAUCUCUCUUGCAACACAUUACAAAUUUGCUUUAUAAAAAUUCCACAUAUUAACGCUGACUAAUUCAGACACUAUUUUAUGUGAGGUAUUAUGGACACCAUUAUGACAAACUCAUGACAUUCUAAAUGUGAAGAAAACCAUAUGUUAAUUACCUUCUCUAAUAAUUACAUGGCAUAUAAUUUAUUAAACAUUUCCUUCAUUUUGUAAACAAAAUCGGACCUCAAAAUAUGUAUAGACAGUUGUACUUCCUGGCCAAAUAGCUAGCAGACUAAGAAUUCUAAUGAUGUACCCCAAAAAUAUAUUUACAGCAAUCACCAACUUAAUGCAUUCUCAUUCAUAUUCUCUCUCUCUCUCUCUCUCUCUCUCUCUCUCUGGUAUUUCAUUUAUCAGCCAUGCAGUCAUCAUUCUCCUCCCUACCACCAUCUGUACAUACUUUCCCAAUAGACCAUCACAGCUGUCCUAUUUUUCACACACACGGAACCUUUUAUAUGCUUUCCAACUGUUUUUAAUAACUAUUCUGUGCUUAGCACUGUACUUCCUUUGUCUUCUUCACAAAUAUGAAAAGAUAUUAUCUGAACAAACAGGUUAUCACAGGAAAAGCUUUUUUAUUAUUAAAGAGAGAGAGAGAGAACACAAGAAGGGGGAGAGAGCAAUGAGAACAUUACAGUAUUGAUCAUUCCAAAGACUCCAAACAUCUUAGACUCCAGUGGCUAGUCUAGCCUAUUGAUGAAAGGUGUUAAGAAAAC